GGAAAUCAGUGUUCAAGAGAGGCCAUGCCAUCCUUACGUUGCUUAGACCGAGAAUACCUGUUUUCUCCAGACUUACUAAUGUGGUAUGAUGCGCUGUCCUGGUCUAUUUAAUUUUCUUCCCUUCCUUUUUACUAAAGGUGCAGGUGCUAGAUGUGUUAAAGGCAAGGAUAGAGGAAGACCCAGAGUUAGAUGGUGGAUGCCACAGAAACUUCCAGAACAUUCAUGUAUGUGCUGCAGAGCUUUGGCUGGGGCUCCUGGGGCCCCUGCACUGGAGCAUGGAGGCGUGAGGUUCAGUAGGCAGACUUGUGAGGACCAGCCAUGUUUGAGAGAGAAAUACAGCAGCCAGCUCUGUCCCAAAACAUCCACCUGCAGCUCUCUUAGUCUUUUCUCUUCUCUGGAGUCAUGGCAGACUUCAGCAAGAACUUCCUUGAGAUGAGACUGGAGAAGCAAGACAGAUUGACCUGGAUUUUAGAUUGAAGGGCUUCAUGUAACUCCUGCCUGCUCAGCUUCUGUGUGGGUGAAGCUGAGAUAAUGACCAUCGAUCCCCGUUUCCAGAAAAAAAAAAAAAAAA
rnacentral:lncRNA from 1 species